rnacentral:rRNA from 1 species
UACGUAGGGUGCAAGCGUUAAUCGGAAUUACUGGGCGUAAAGCGUGCGCAGGCGGUUUUGUAAGUCUGUCGUGAAAGCCCCGGGCUCAACCUGGGAAUGGCAUUUGGGACUGCAAGGCUGGAGUGCGGCAGAGGAGACUGGAAUUCCUGGUGUAGCAGUGAAAUGCGUAGAUAUCAGGAGGAAUACCGAUGGCGAAGGCAGGUCUCUGGGCUGACACUGACGCUCAUGCACGAAAGCGUGGGGAGCAAACAGG